rnacentral:rRNA from 1 species
GAUGAACGCUGGCGGCGUGCCUAAUACAUGCAAGUAGAACGCUGAAGCUUGGUGCUUGCACCGAGCGGAUGAGUUGCGAACGGGUGAGUAACGCGUAGGUAACCUGCCUCUUAGCGGGGGAUAACUAUUGGAAACGAUAGCUAAUACCGCAUAAAAGUCGAUAUCGCAUGAUAUUGAUUUGAAAGGUGCAAAUGCAUCACUAAGAGAUGGACCUGCGUUGUAUUAGCUAGUUGGUGAGGUAACGGCUCACCAAGGCGACGAUACAUAGCCGACCUGAGAGGGUGAUCGGCCACACUGGGACUGAGACACGGCCCAGACUCCUACGGGAGGCAGCAGUAGGGAAUCUUCGGCAAUGGGGGCAACCCUGACCGAGCAACGCCGCGUGAGUGAAGAAGGUUUUCGGAUCGUAAAGCUCUGUUGUAAGUGAAGAACGAGUGUGAGAGUGGAAAGUUCACACUGUGACGGUAACUUACCAGAAAGGGACGGCUAACUACGUG